rnacentral:rRNA from 1 species
GAUGAACGCUAGCGACAGGCUUAACACAUGCGAGUCGAGGGGCAGCAUGAUUUGUAGCAAUACAGAUUGAUGGCGACCGGCGCACGGGUGAGUAACGCGUAUGCAACUUACCUAUCAGAGGGGGAUAGCCCGGCGAAAGUCGGAUUAAUACCCCAUAAAACAGGGGUCCCGCAUGGGGAUGCGUUCCAUUAGGUAGUAGGCGGGGUAACGGCCCACCUAGCCUACGAUGGAUAGGGGUUCUGAGAGGAAGGUCCCCCACAUUGGAACUGAGACACGGUCCAAACUCCUACGGGAGGCAGCAGUGAGGAAUAUUGGUCAAUGGACGAGAGCCUGAACCAGCCAAGUAGCGUGCAGGAUGACGGCCCUAUGGGUUGUAAACUGCUUUUAUAAGGGAAUAAAGUGGGAGUCGUGACUCUUUUUGCAUGUACCUUAUGAAUAAGGACCGGCUAAUUCCGUG